rnacentral:misc_RNA from 1 species
UCUCCGUUGGUGAACCAGCGGAGGGAUCAUUACAGGACUCGCAAGACUCCUUCACCCUGUGAACCUCACUACAAGCACGUUGCUUCGGCAGGUGUCCCGGCGGGGGUUUUCCCUCGCCGGGGCGCACAGCCCGCCGGCAGCCUACUAUACUCUGUCUCUUUGCGUUGGCAUCUCGAGAAAAAACAAACAAGUUAAAACUUUCAACAACGGAUCUCUUGGUUCUG